UCAUGAAUAUAAAUCAUUUAUUACCAGGGAACUACGAGCAAUAUAGCUUAAAACCCAAAGAACUUGGCGGUGCUUCAGACUACUUAGGGGAACCUGUUUCAUAAUCGACAAUCCACGAUAAACCUAACCUUUUUAUGCAAUCAGUAUGUAUACCGUUGUCGCCAGGCAACUUUUUAAAAUGUAAAAGUUGGCAUAAAAGAAAUUAACUCAAACGUCAAAUCAAGGUGCAGCUCACAAAAAGGUGAAAAUGGGUUACAAUUACAAAUCAUAAUAUGAAUCUAGAUUAUAAAUAAUCUUGUGAAGGAGGACUUAAAAGUAAAAAAAUAAUUAUAGAAAUUCUUUGAAUCAAGCUCUAAAGCGUGC
rnacentral:rRNA from 1 species